UACAGAGGGUGCAAGCGUUAAUCGGAAUUACUGGGCGUAAAGGGCGUGUAGGUGGUUGUAUAAGUUGGUUGUGAAAUCCCUGGGCUUAACCUAGGAAUGGCAAUCAAGACUGUAUAACUAGAGUACGGUAGAGGGUAGUGGAAUUUCCGGUGUAGCGGUGAAAUGCGUAGAGAUCGGAAGGAACACCAGUGGCGAAGGCGGCUACCUGGACUGAUACUGACACUGAGGCGCGAAAGCGUGGGGAGCAAACAGG
rnacentral:rRNA from 1 species